CCUACGGGGGGCAGCAGUGGGGAAUAUUGCACAAUGGGGGAAACCCUGAUGCAGCGACGCCGCGUGAGUGAAGAAGUAAUUCGUUAUGUAAAGCUCUAUCAGCAGGGAAGAAAAUGACGGUACCUGAGUAAGAAGCCCCGGCGAACCACGUGCCAGCAGCCGCGGUAAGACGUAGGGGGCAAGCGUUAUCCGGAUUUAGUGGGUUUAAAGGGUGCGUAGGCUGUGAGGUAAGUCAGCGGUGAAAUGCCCCCGCUCAACGUGGUGAAGUGCCAUUGCUACUGCCUUGCUGGAAUGCGGAUGCCGUGGGAGGAAUGUGUGGUGUAGCGGUGAAAUGCAUAGAUAUCACACAGAACACCGAUUGCGAAGGCAUCUCACGAAUCCGCGUUUGACGCUGAUGCACGAAAGCGUGGGUAUCAAACAGGAUUAGAUACCCCUGUAGUC
rnacentral:rRNA from 1 species